rnacentral:lncRNA from 1 species
GAUUUUUCUCAAAAUCACCAAAAAUUUAAAUCACAACAUACAUGUAGUCGUUAUUGAUAAAAUCACAAUAAUAAAUGUAUGCAUGCAAUAAUAUCUGAAUUUACAGUAGUGUCUAUGAAGCCCCAAUGUAAGUUUUAUAUAUAAAAAAAAACCAUGAAUUUGAUCAUAAUUACCAACAACAUUAUGCACAACACAUUCUUAAUUCUUUUCAAACAUGCACAUUUAAAUUCAAAACAAAGCCUAUAAACAUUGUCAUCAGCAGGAAUACUAAUAUGAGUAUUUAAUCAAAUAAAGUACUCAUUACCGAAAGUAUUUA